rnacentral:rRNA from 1 species
AUGAAGAAGAUCGUGCUGAAGCUGGACAUCCACUACCGCAAACAGCGGAACAGGGCGCUCAGAGCACUCUCCACUGUCCAUGGUAUCGAUCAGAUGGCUGUGGAUAUGAGGGAUGAGAAGAUCACGGUUGUCGGCACCGUCGACCCCGUUGCCGUCGUGCGCGUGCUGCGGAAGUUGUUUCCAACCGCACAGUUAGUCUCCGUCGGGCCUUGGCCCGCCAAGGAGGAGAAGAAGAAAGACGGCGACAAGAAGGCCGAAAGCGGUCCGCCGCCGCCGCACGAGUUUACAGUCGGGUUCUUGAACCGUAUCACAAACGGUUUCUCCGGGGAGCUCAUUAUUGGUCGUGGUCGGCACGGAGUAGUUUACAAGGGAAUGCAGGACAAUGGGGAAUGGAUUGCUGUGAAGAAGCUUCAUCUCAUGCCAGGACUUGAUGACGAGGAAUUUAAAAAUGAGUUUAAUAAUCUUAUGAGGGUCCGACAUCAAAAUACCAUAUGGUUAGUUGGCUACUGCUGCCAUACAACAGAAGUGCCUGUUGAGCACAACGGAGAACAUGUUUCUGCUAGGGUGGAAGAAAGAGCUUUAUGCUCCGAAUACUUGCACGGAGGAAGUCUUGACAAGCAUCUUUCUAAUGAACCAUGUGCGCUUGUUUGGCACACAUGUUACAAAAUAAUUAAGGGGAUAUGUCAGGGUUUACGUUACCUCCAUGAAGGAUUUGAGUAUCCUAUUUACCAUCUGGAACUAAAACCUACAAAAAUUUUGCUGGAUAAGGACAUGAUGCCCAAAAUUGGGGGUUUUGGUUUCUCUAAACUCUUUGAUUCAAUAAAAACCUUUGACUCAUCAGAAGUUACGGGUACAAGUGUAUACAUGCCACCAGAGUACAUCAGUCAAGGGAAAAUCUCACCAAAGUUUGAUGUAUUCAGUGUGGGCGUUAUAAUCUUGCAAAUAAUGGUAGGAAAGCAAAGCUACACCAAAUGUGCAGAUAUUCCUCCCGAAGAAUUUAUUGAGCAUGUAUAUGAAUUGUGGGUAAGUAGGAUGCAUGCCAUAAUAUCAAAGAAUACUUCGCGUGAAAUUAGAACAUGCAUCAAAAUUGCUCUAAAAUGUGUGGAGUCCGAUCGAGUGAAGAGGCCUACUAUAAAUAAGGUCAUAGAAGAGCUGAAUAAGAUUGUUGAGUGCUCAUUUGAGUCCUUAGAACAUAUUACAGAUAAUUUUUCUGAGCAAAACAUAGUUGGCCGUGGUGGAUAUGGAACUAUUUACAAGGGAGUGCAGGACAAUGGAGAAGAGGUUGCUGUUAAGAGACUUCAUUCAAAUUCAAUGCCAUGGAUUGAGGAUGAGCAGUUUAAGAACGAGCUUGAUAAUCUAAUGAGGGUCCAACACAAAAAUAUCGUAAGGUUGGUUGGCUACUGCUAUCAUAAAUCACAGAUACUUGUUGAGUACAACGGAGAACUUGUAUAUGCUACUAUGGUCAAAAGAGCCAUUUGUUUGGAAUACAUGCAGGGUGGAAGCCUUGAAUAUCAACUUUCAGAUGAACCCUGCAGACUUGAUUGGGAAAAAUGUUACAACAUAAUAAAAGGAACUAUUGACGGUUUACAUUGCCUUCAUAAUACUCACAUUUUCCAUCUGGACUUAAAACCGGCAAAUAUUUUGUUGGACAAAGAUAUGGUGGCAAAAAUUGGUGAUUUUGGUUUGUCAAGACUCUUUGGUUCAAUGCAAACCUAUAUGACGGCAUCCCAUAUUAAAGGAACAUUUGGAUACAUGCCACCAGAAUACAUCGACGGACAAGUUAUCAGUCAAAAGUUUGAUGUAUUUAGUCUUGGGGUCAUAAUGAUACAAAUAAUGGCAGGAAAGGAGGGCUACUCCAAUUAUCCACGCACCCCUCGGAAAGAAUUUAUUAAGCAUGUUUGUGAAAAAUGGCGAGUGAGGCUGCAGGCAACAAUGUGGGCCCAUGUAUUUGAAGAAGUGAGGACAUGCAUCGAAAUAGCGUUAAAAUGUGUGGAGGCUGACCGAAAACGAAGGCCUACAAUAGCCCAGAUUGUUAAUGAACUAAGUAACAUUGGUGUUGCAAAAAGUUCACCAAUAGGUCAGUGGACGAACAAGCUGACUUCAUUGAAGACCUUGUUAUUAUCCACUCACUUAAAACAAUGGUUGUUCCUCUUAGUCGCAGUGAUCGCCAUAUUUUUCGCAUGGCCCCAAUUAUGUCCAGAUUCUUGGCACCGAGGAAUUACAAGGAGUGCAGAAAACAACAGCGCUUGA